rnacentral:misc_RNA from 1 species
AGCGAAAUUAAGAACAAUUAAAAUACUACAACAAGCAAAGCACAACAUGUACGCCUAUAGAUUCAUAAGAAAAACGGGCAAAGCUACACAGGUGUAACGACGACGGGGAGCGGCAAGGAGGUUCAAGAAUGCUACAUUUGAUGCAGAUGAUGGAGCAAACGAAUAUCUUGGUGGUUGUCACUAGGCGGUACGGUGGUAUUCAAUUAGGUUCCGACAGAUUUCGUCCUAUAAACAAUGCAACACGGCAAGUCAUACAGCAAGCUGGGUUAUUAAAAAAAAGACGAGGUGGAUAACAUUUUUUAUUAAAUACUAAUACAGGUGUAUAUAAAAUAAAAAAAUUUAAUAAAAA